CCUACGGGAGGCAGCAGUGAGGAAUAUUGCGCAAUGGGCGAAAGCCUGACGCAGCAACGCCGCGUGAGGGACGAAGGCCUUCGGGUCGUAAACCUCUUUUCUGAGGAAAGAGCAAGGACGGUACCUCAGGAAUAAGUCUCGGCUAACUACGUGCCAGCAGCCGCGGUAAAACGUAGGAGGCGAGCGUUAUCCGGAUUUACUGGGCGUAAAGCGCACGCAGGCGGCUUCGUUAGCCGGAUGUGAAAGCUCCUGGCUUAACUGGGAGAGGCCAUUCGAUACUGCGAGGCUUGAGGUUGGGAGAGGGGUGUGGAAUUCCCGGUGUAGUGGUGGAAUGCGUAGAUAUCGGGAGGAACACCUGUGGCGAAAGCGGCACCCUGGCCCACACCUGACGCUGAGGUGCGAAAGCGUGGGGAGUAAACAGGAUUAGAUACCCUGGUAAUCCACGCUGUAAACGAUGUCAACUGGGUGUCGGUAGUUUUACACUAUCGGUGCCGAAGCAAACGCGUUAAGUUGACCGCCUGGGGACUACGGGCCGCAAGGCUAAAACUUAAAGGAAUUGACGG
rnacentral:rRNA from 1 species